UUGCCCUAGUAACGGCGAGUGAAGCGGCAACAGCUCAAAUUUGAAAUCUGGCCUCGGCCCGAGUUGUAAUUUGUAGAGGAAGCUUUUGGCACGGCACCUGCUGAGUCCCCUGGAACGGGGCGCCAUAGAGGGUGAGAGCCCCGUAUAGCAGGACGCCUAGCCUCUGUAAAGCUCCUUCGACGAGUCGAGUAGUUUGGGAAUGCUGCUCAAAAUGGGAGGUAAAUUUCUUCUAAAGCUAAAUACCGGCCAGAGACCGAUAGCGCACAAGUAGAGUGAUCGAAAGAUGAAAAGCACUUUGAAAAGAGGGUUAAAUAGCACGUGAAAUUGUUGAAAGGGAAGCGCUUGUGACCAGACUCGCGCCGGGCUGAUCAUCCGAGCUUCUGCUCGGUGCACUCUGCCCGGCUCGGGCCAGCAUCGGUUCUUGCGGGGGGAUAAAGGCCCUGGGAACGUAGCUCCUCCGGGAGUGUUAUAGCCCGGGGUGUAAUGCCCUCGCGGGGACCGAGGACCGCGCUUCGGCAAGGAUGCUGGCGUAAUGGUCAUCAGCGACCCGUCUUGAAACACGGACCAAGGAGUCAAGGUUUUGCGCGAGUGUUUGGGUGUUAAACCCGCACGCGUAAUGAAAGUGAACGUAGGUGAGAGCUUCGGCGCAUCAUCGACCGAUCCUGAUGUAUUCGGAUGGAUUUGAGUAGGAGCGUUAAGCCUUGGACCCGAAAGAUGGUGAACUAUGCUUGGAUAGGGUGAAGCCAGAGGAAACUCUGGUGGAGGCUCGCAGCGGUUCUGACGUGCAAAUCGAUCGUCAAAUCUGAGCAUGGGGGCGAAAGACUAAUCGAACCAUCUAGUAGCUGGUUACCGCCGAAGUUUCCCUCAGGAUAGCAGUGUUGUUCUUCAGUUUUAUGAGGUAAAGCGAAUGAUUAGGGACUCGGGGGCGCUUUAUAGCCUUCAUCCAUUCUCAAACUUUAAAUAUGUAAGAAGCCCUUGUUACUUAAUUGAACGUGGGCAUU
rnacentral:rRNA from 1 species